rnacentral:rRNA from 1 species
GAUGAACGCUGGCGGCGUGCCUAAUACAUGCAAGUCGAGCGAACAGAUAAGGAGCUUGCUCCUUUGAAGUUAGCGGCGGACGGGUGAGUAACACGUGGGUAACCUACCUAUAAGACUGGGAUAACUUCGGGAAACCGGAGCUAAUACCGGAUAACAUUUAGAACCGCAUGGUUCUAAAGUGAAAGAUGGUUUUGCUAUCACUUAUAGAUGGACCCGCGCCGUAUUAGCUAGUUGGUAAGGUAACGGCUUACCAAGGCGACGAUACGUAGCCGACCUGAGAGGGUGAUCGGCCACACUGGAACUGAGACACGGUCCAGACUCCUACGGGAGGCAGCAGUAGGGAAUCUUCCGCAAUGGGCGAAAGCCUGACGGAGCAACGCCGCGUGAGUGAUGAAGGGUUUCGGCUCGUAAAACUCUGUUAUUAGGGAAGAACAAAUGUGUAAGUAACUGUGCACAUCUUGACGGUACCUAAUCAGAAAGCCACGGCUAACUACGUGCCAGCAGCCGCGGUAAUACGUAGGUGGCAAGCGUUAUCCGGAAUUAUUGGGCGUAAAGCGCGCGUAGGGCGGUUUCUUAAGUCUGAUGUGAAAGCCCACGGCUCAACUGUGGAGGGUCAUUGGAAACUGGGAAACUUGAGUGCAGAAGAGGAAAGUGGAAUUCCAUGUGUAGCGGUGAAAUGCGCAGAGAUAUGGAGGAACACCAGUGGCGAAGGCGACUUUCUGGUCUGUAACUGACGCUGAUGUGCGAAAGCGUGGGGAUCAAACAGGAUUAGAUACCCUGGUAGUCCACGCCGUAAACGAUGAGUGCUAAGUGUUAGGGGGUUUCCGCCCCUUAGUGCUGCAGCUAACGCAUUAAGCACUCCGCCUGGGGAGUACGACCGCAAGGUUGAAACUCAAAGGAAUUGACGGGGACCCGCACAAGCGGUGGAGCAUGUGGUUUAAUUCGAAGCAACGCGAAGAACCUUACCAAAUCUUGACAUCCUUUGAAAACUCUAGAGAUAGAGCCUUCCCCUUCGGGGGACAAAGUGACAGGUGGUGCAUGGUUGUCGUCAGCUCGUGUCGUGAGAUGUUGGGUUAAGUCCCGCAACGAGCGCAACCCUUAAGCUUAGUUGCCAUCAUUAAGUUGGGCACUCUAGGUUGACUGCCGGUGACGAACCGGAGGAAGGUGGGGAUGACGUCAAAUCAUCAUGCCCCUUAUGAUUUGGGCUACACACGUGCUACAAUGGACAAUACAAAGGGCAGCUAAACCGCGAGGUCAUGCAAAUCCCAUAAAGUUGUUCUCAGUUCGGAUUGUAGUCUGCAACUCGACUACAUGAAGCUGGAAUCGCUAGUAAUCGUAGAUCAGCAUGCUACGGUGAAUACGUUCCCGGGUCU